GUAUAAAUGUCAUUUCUGCACAAGGUACAGACAAGUCUGGUGGGAUCCAUGCCUGGUUCAUUUUAAUAAAUGUGAGCUUGUCCACGUUGGCUGUGGACAGGAGGGUGCGCUUGUCUGUGAUAUCGCCCCUGGCGACGUAGCAUUCGGAUUUCUGCCCUAUCAACUUUCGAUGUUACUUUCUGCGCCUACCAUGGUGAUCACGGGUAACGGGGAAUCAGGGUUCGAUUCCGGAGAGGAAGCCUGAGAAAUGGCUACCACAUCCAAGGAAGGCAGCAGGAGUGCAAAUUACCCACUCCCGAUGCGGGGUGGUAAUGACGAUAAAUAACAAUACAGGACUCUUUCAAGGUCCUGUAAUUGGAAUGAGUACACUUUAAAUCCUUUAACAAAUAUCUAUUGGAGGGCAAGAAAAUCCAUU